GGAUGAAGAACGUAGCGAAAUGCGAUACGUAAUGUGAAUUGCAGAAUUCAGUGAAUCAUCGAAUCUUUGAACGCAUAUUGCGCUCUCUGGUAUUCCGGAGAGCAUGCUUGUUUGAGUAUCAGUAAACACCUCAACUCCCUUUCUUCUUGAAAUGGAGCUGGACUUGAGUGAUCCCAACGCUUUAUUCAUAAAGUGGCGGGUUACUUGAAAUGCAGGUGCAGCUGGACUUUUCUCUGAGCUAUAAGCAUAUCUAUUUAGUCUGCCUCAAAACAGAUUAUUACCUUUGCUGCAGCUAACAUAAAGGAGAUUAGUUCUUGUGCUGACUGAUGCAGGAUUCACAAAGACCGCUUCGGCUGUCUUUGUAAACUCGAUCUCAAAUCAAGUAAGACUACCCGCUGAACUUAAGCAUAUCAAUAAGCGGAGGA
rnacentral:misc_RNA from 1 species